rnacentral:lncRNA from 1 species
AUUAGGAAGCCCGCCCACUAAGGAGUCAGCUAGAUGCCCUGAAUGAGGUAGAAAAGUAUUCCCAGAUGUGUGUUCCCCCGCUCCAACCGCUCCCCACCACCCCCAGCAGAACCAUCAAGAGAGGAGGCUGGGCAACGCAGAGGAAAUAAGACAUUUUCAAAGACACACGCCAGAGUUGCGGAAUUGCUAGUGCUGUCAAGAUGAAGAAACUGAAACCCACAGAGAUGAAGUAACAUCCUCAAGAUCAAAAGGUAACAAACGAUUGAGGCAGGAUUUGGAUAUUGCUCUACAUGACGGGAAAGCCUGUGCUCUUGGAAUUACAGUCAUAGUACAACAGAUCAAGUUCAAAGCAUCAUCUAAGUCAAGGAAAACCAGUAAAGAGGUUUGGAGAGACAAACAGGGUCAACUCCAGGCAUUUGGGUCAGCAGAAACGGCACGAUUGAGCAGCACUGUGACUAUAGGAUCAUGGAUCAGAGGCUGCUUCCUCUUUGGUUCUGGGCAUCAGCCUCAUGUCCACUCAAAGUAAGUGGCCCCUCUGAUUGGAAUCGGAGGUGCCUGGGUCAUCUCACAGAGCCAAACAAAUACAAUUAGCUAUUGCAAAGCCUUUUGGGAAUUAUUCCCAGUGUAAAUAAACACAUAACCAUAUAGCAAGAGCCUUGAUAAAGUCCAAAAACAUGCAAACUUGGAGUAUCUAAGAGAAAAGACCACAAUGUAAAUGAAAAACCAAAUAAACUCGGGCAAACCAUAGGAUAGGGCCCUGUCUGUGAUGGCCUGCAUAUGAUGAGCCAUAGAAAAAGGAUGGUGAAUUCUGGAUAAUAAGAAAUGUCAAUGAGAUGCAAGAACCACCUGUUUUAUGUAAAGCUCCAAAUAACCAGAUCACAGUGGACAGCCACUCAAAUAAUGCCUUCAUAAUACAGAGUAUUAUUGAGAAUAACUCAGUUCACAGAGAGCUUAAGGCAGCCAAUAUUUGAUAGCCUGUCAGAAAAAAACAGAACAGUAAUUAUAGAAAAGAAUCAUAUCCUCGGAAAAACAAAAAUUAAUCAAACUAAGUUUGUAAAGUCUAUCUUACAGACACAUUGUCUGGACUGGUCCUCUCAAAAAUACUGUUUUUUUUUAAUGCCAAUUUGUUUAGUUAAUGAUUUUUGUCUUAUUACUUCAAAACUGGAAAUAUCCUAUGACUCAUAAUAUCUUACAACCUUUCUACUUUCUUAAAGAAUCUCAAGUUUAUAAUCACAGGGGAUCGGAUUAUUUUUCAAAAAUUAAAUGGUGAUGUAAUGAUUUCUGUGUCUAUUGUAGAAAAGUCAACCUUAUUACAGCUGCAACAAUGGCAUUAAGAAAUAUGAGUAAUUCCAAUCAACUUGAGAUAAUGUCUAAUCAAACACAAAUACAACUGGUAAAUUUCAUUAAAUAGCAUGGAGAUUAAAUUAAAACACUAUUAUGUAAUAAAAACCUUUAGUGGUACUAAAAUUUUAGAAUAGUUCAGAUAUACAGAAAAAUUUCAAAGAUACACAGAGUUCCCAUUUUUUUCCUAUUACUAACCUCUCAUAUUUGUCACAACUAAUGAAUAUUCAAUAGAGUAUUAUUAACUAAAGCCUAUACAUUUAUUUAGAUUUCCUUAGUUUUUAGCUAACAUUCUUUUUCUUUGUUCCAGGAUCCCAUCCGGGCCACCACAUUGAAUUUAUUUGUCAUUUUAGGUACCUCUUGGCUGUGAGUUUCUUAGACUUUCCUUGUUUUUGGUGACCCUGACAGUUUGAGGGAGUACUAGUCAGUCAGUUAUUUUUGCAGAAUGCCCUAAAUUUGAGUUUGGCUGAUGUUUUUCUUAGGGUUUGACUGGGGUUAUGGGUUUUGGGGAGGAAGACCACAGAGGUGAAGUACCAUUCUCACCAAAUUAUAUUAAAGGUACAUACCAUCAGCAUGCCUUAUACUAUUGAUGUGAACUUUGAUUGCCUGGCUGUGGUAGUGUUUGUCAUGUUUCUUCACUGUAAAGUUACUCUUCUCAUCACCCACUUUUCUGUACUGUACUCUUUGGAAGAAAGUCACUAUAUGCAUCCCAAAUUUAAGGAGUGGGAAGUUAUGCUCCACCCAUUUGUAAGCAGAAAAUCUACAUAAUUUGUUUGGCAUUCUUCUGCAUAGGAAAAUCAUCUCACUCUCCCAGUUAUUUAUUUAUUUGAUCUUUUUUUAUAUCAGUAUGGACUCAUGGGUAUUUCUUUUAUACUUUGGGUUAUAAUCCAAUACUAACACAAUAAAGAAAUUUUUAAUGGAGAUGCAUUCAAAUUCGUUGCUAAAAUGGGCCUGACACCUCUUGACCUUGGCUAAACAGAGAUUCUGGAUGGAGCAAAGCACUGUGACGUCAUGUGGACUUUGAAGGUUAAGAAACUACGGAUCAUCAGGACAUAUUUGCUCUUCCAUCUCACAGAGAAAAUGGGGAUAUACCUCCUCAUUCCAGGAAACUUUCUUCCUAUAUUUCUAAUAUAUCCAGGAUAAAAUUCAAUAUAUAUAGUCAGUAGCUUCAAAGUUAAGCAUAAUUUGUUUACUAGAAUUCUUAAGGCAGAUGUUGGAUCAUUAACUCAUUCUCUUAGAAAUAACUUUGGUGCUUAUAAGUAGGCAUCACAUAAUCUGAUACACUGAUAUUAUAUAUAUAAUCGUGAAAAACAUAUCAGAUUAUAUGAUAUCACAUAAUCUGAUAUAUGUGAUAUAUAAUCAGAUUAUGUGGUAUCAUAUAAUCUGAUAUAUAAAUGUUUUUCAUAAUUAUACAUAUAUUUCAAGUAUAAUUGUGAAAAACAUUUGCCAGUUUAAAGUUUAAUAUGUAGACAGAAUAAUGCCUGGAGGUAUAGGGAUAUAAUUGGGAAUUAGAGUAAUAAAAUAAAUAUUUUAAGUACUUACUACAUAUUACUCAUUAACACAAAAGUAACUUUACGUAUAAAAUGCAUGACAAGACUCCAUUAUAAAGAAGUGUCUGAAAGCUAUAGGGCAGAAAGGUAUAGAACACAGUAUAGACUAGAAGGAGAUAAAGACAAUCAGAAGAUUUUAUUCAUUCAUUUAUUCAACAAAAAUUUACAGAGUACCUCCAAUUAUCAGCAGCUGUGCUGAAGAUUAGGUAUAUUACCUACACAGUUACAAAUUUUGCUUUCAUGUAGUCUGCAGGAAGAGAGACAUUAAUCAAAGAAUGGCACUAUUGACACUUGUGCAGGAAAGGGUUACGUCAACAGGCCUGGGCUGCUCAAACCUUGCGUAUUCCCAGAGUCUCAAGACUGGUCUUGGCCUGGCUCCUGGGAAGAUUACUUCUGAGCCCUUGGCUGAGAUAGGAGUUUAUGCCAACAGUGUGAUUUAUGGCAAACACCUGUUUUUGUAUGCCUGAGGCUUUGGAUCAUGCUGUACCAAUUUGAUCUGAGGCCUGAAGACUGGUAGCUAAGGUGCUGCAUGCCUACAUGACUGACCUCCAGUAAAAACCCUGGACACAUGCCUCAAGUGAGUUUCGUUGGUUGGCAACACUUUACAUAUGUUGUCACACGUUGUUGCUGAGAAAAUUAAGUGUACUCCAUGUAAUGGCACUGGGAGAGGACAACUGGAAGCUGGUGCUUAAUUUCUCCUCUACUCCACGCUAUCCACCUUUUCACUUCGCUGAGUUUUUUCUGUAUCCUUUCAAUGUAAUAAACUUUAACCAUGAGUAUAACAGCUUUUUUGGGUCCUGUGAGUCUUUCCAGCAAAUCACUGAGCCUGAGAAUUAUCUUGGGGAUCCCCAACACAAUACUACAAUUAAAAAAUGAGGUACAUAUUCUAAAGAAGAAGAAUAUAGUUUGUGGGAGUUUAUAACAUAGUAACCUGAAGUAGACUAGGAGGUCAAGAAAGUCUUCCCCGAAAAAGAGAGGUUUGAGCUGUGAUAAUGGAUGCAUAAGACAUUGCUUAUAAAGGUGGAGAGAGCUUUCCAGCAUGAUGAAUUGCAUGUACAAAUCCUCUGGUCAGGGAGAGUAAAGUGUGUGUGAGCAGCUGAAAGUGACAUGCACAGCUGGAGUGGAGAGAACAGCAGGAGGUGGGAUGGGAGAUGUGUGGGACAGUCCUCAGAGGCUGGGCUUGGCAAACCAUGUGAAGGAUUUUGGUCAUUAUCCUGAGAGUCACGGGAAGCCAUGGAAAGGCUGGAAGCAAAGGGGGGCUCAGGGUGGUCUUCUGAAAUAAGCAUUCUGGCAAUGGGGGUUGGGGGGAGAACUUAUAGGGGGUGAUGAGUCGACAGAAUGAAAACAAGGCAAUCUCUUUUUAUAGAACUCAGAAGAGAGAUGAUGGUAUCUCUGGCUAUUGUGCUGGCAGAGGGAAUGUUGAGAAAUGGAAGCUUUUCAUAGAAAUUUAGUGGGCCAAAUUACUUUGCUGGCUUGUGCAAAUGACAGAAUGGUUGGACCACUCAUUGAAGCAGGACACACUAGGAGAGACCAGGUUUAUUUUUGUCAGGAUGAAGCACAAGAAUGACAUACAUUUGGUCUUGGAUACACUGAGUUUGAUGUGCCUUUAGAGUUGAAUAUGGAGAUAGUUAUAGGCCACUGAAUACAUAGGUAUGGACUGAUGUCAUUCAGGUUUCAUCCACAAAUUGUAACUACAGCUAUCGACUCAAGGGGCAACUAUCAUUUGCCUGGCAUUACUUUAAGUACUUUCCAUAUAUGAACUCAUUAUAUCCUCACAAUUAUUAAAUGAGCAGAUCCUAUAACUAGCCUAUGUCAUUCUCAUAGCAAGCCAAGGAAGGGCGUUGAAACCAACUUUGGAGACGGUAGGGGGUAAAAAAGAAGAGGGAUUUUGACGUUGCCAGUAUUAGUAACUGAUUCCUGGCAGACAAGACUGAGAGUAUAUCACCAGACCUGAAGGAGGAGGAGGCUGGGCUAUCCUGGAAGCCAAGGGAAGUUGGUGCUCCAGAAGAAGACAGUUUUUAUUUAAUGCUGUUAAGUUUACUAAGAAGAGGACUAUGGGAUGGACAACAGUCAGUCAUUGCAAGUAAAAGUUGUUUUGAUGAAGCUGGAAGCUAAAUUAGAGAAGGGUGCAUGGAAGGCAAGAAAGUGAAGACAGGGAAGUGCUUUCAGCACAUCUCGCUAUAAAGAGUAGGAAAGAAAGCAAUACCUGCAGGGAGCUAAAGGAGUCAGGGAGGAGCUGUUUGUUUACAGGUGAGAUGGGAGAGCUGUAUUCAAGUCUGAAAGUCAAUGGAAAGGAUUCAUUUGAGAGGGAAUAGUUGAGUACACAUGAGAGAAGUACAUCGAUUGCAGUGAGCUGAGAUCGCACCAUUGCAUUCCAGCCUGGGCGACAAGAACAAAACUCCGUCUCAAAAAAAAAAAAAAAAAAAAAAAGGAGUACGUUGAUAGUGUAAGCUUCUUCAGCAGUCCAGAGUGAGAGAGAUGGGAUGUAAAUAUGGUCAAACAUAUUUGGGCAGAGCCAGUCAGUGAAAUGAUACUCUUCAUAACACAUGUCACAGAAACCAGUAAUAGAUCCAAGCCCUGCCUAUGCUCCACUCUGCUCUCAUACCCAUUGGUUUCCUUAUUUCUCUUUGGCUAUCCCUGCCUUCCUUCAUGACUCCAUAUGCCACGUUCCUCUCACUUCGGACACAUCGCACUUGCUGUUUUUCUCAGCUAAGAAUGUUUUUCACUCCAUCCAAUGCCCCACCUCUUCAACCAGUUUCUAGCCUGAUGAAGAUGUUCAAUAAACAGUCAUUGGUUGAACAACUUGUGUUCAAAACAUUUACUGAAACAAACCUGUAUUAGUCCGUUUUUACACUGCUAUAAAGAGCUACCCAAGCCUAAGUAAUUUAUAAAGGAAAGAGGUUUAAUUGACUCACAGUUCAGCAUGGCUGGGGAGGUCUCAGGAAAUUUACAAUCAUGAUGGAAGGCAAAGGGGAAGCAGGUAUCUUCUUCACAAGGUGGCAGGAAGGAGAAGUGCCAAGUGAAGGUGGAAGAGCCCCUUAUAAAACCAUCAGAUCUCGUGAGAACUCACUCACUAUCAGUAUGCUUCAAUUACUUCCACUUGGUCUGUCCCUUGAUACGCGGGGAUUAUGGGGAUUACAAUUCAAGAUGAGAUUUGGAUAGGGACACGAAGCCUAACCAUAUCAAAACCCAAUCUGAAACUCAAUCCGAUUUUGGAUAUUUGCUUCUGAUUUUGGUCACCAAUAAGUAUUUUUAUCAAUAUAAAUUUGAAUCAUAAUUAAAGAAGGCAUUGUAGUCUAAUAUUUAGUUAUACUUUUAUAUCCAUGAUCAUAUUCAUCCCUCCUACAAAUAUAAAAACAUAUGCAUAUGCCAUUUUAUUAUUUUAUACAAAAGAGUAUUUUUAAGCAGACACACACCUGUCAAUUAAUUCUCUCCUACUAAGCAAACAACACGGAAAGAAAUUCUAAUCAGAAUGUCAAUCUAUUAAUUUACAAUGAGAUGUACAACUGUCAAUUCAACCAGAUAUUUUUGUUAAUCUGACCAAUGCAUAUUUUUACCCUGGCCAAGCCAGCCACAGAUUGGUAAACCUUACAUUAAAAAAUGUAGGUAGGCCCAUAUCUCUCACCAUAUACAACAAUAAACUCAGGAUGAAUUAAAAACUUAAAUGUAAUACUUGAAACUGUAAAAAUACCAGAAGAAAACCUAGAGAAAACUCUUCUGGACACUGGUCUAAGAAAAUAAUUCAUGACUAAGACCUCAAAAACACAAGCCACAAAAAACAAAAAUAAAAAACUGAGACGUAAUGAAAUAAAAAGGUUUCUGCACAGCAAAGGAAAUAAUCAACAGAGCAAACAGACAACCUGCAGAAUGAGAGAAAAUAUUCACAAACUAUGCAUCUGACAGAAAACUAAUAUCCGGAAUUUACAAGGAAUGCAAACAACUCAACAACAACAAAAACAACCCCAUUAACAAGUGGGCAAAGGACAUGAAUAGAUAUUUUUUAAAAGAAGACAUACAAAUGGUAAACCCGCAUAUGAAAAAAAAUGCCCCAAAUCACUAAUCAUCAGAGAAAUGCAAAUUAAAACCACAAUGAUAUUAUCUUACAUUAGUCAGAAUGGCUAUUAGUAAAAAGUCAAAAAACAACAGAUGUUGGCGAAGAUGGGAAGAAAAGGGAACUCUUAUACACUAGUAAAACCUCUGUGGAAAACAGUAUGGAGAUUUCUCAAAGAACUAAAGAUAGAACUACCACUCAGGUCAGCAAUCCCACUACCAUGUGUCUGCCCAGAGGAAAAGAAAUUGUGUCAAAAAGAUACCUGCACUCUUAUAUUUAUCACAGCACUAUUCCCAAUAGCAACGAUAUGGGAUCAACCUAUGUGUUCAUCAACACUGGACAAAGAAAAUAUGGUAUAUAUACAUAAUUGAAUACUAUUCAGCCAUAAAACAAGAAUAAAAUCAUGUAUUGGAGCAACAUGGAUGGACGGAGAGGCCAUUAUCUUAAGUGAAACAACUCCAAAACAGAAAGUCAGAUACCGCAUGUUCCCGCUUGUAAGGGGAAGAUGAAAAAAAAAAAAAAAGAUAGACAUUAGAGACUAGAAAGCGGGGUGCAGAAGGAGAGUGGGUGAUGAAAAAUAACUUAGUGGGUAGAAUGUAAAUUAUUCAGAUGAUGGCUACCCUAAAAGCCAAGACUUCACCAUGCAAUAAAUGCACAUAACAAAAUUCCACUUGUACCCCUUAAGUUUACACAAGUAAAUAUAAUUUUAAAAUAAAAAUACAUUUUUAAAAUGUAGGUGGGAACGGAAGACAGAGCAAUGGCUUCCAGGUACUUAGAGUAGGAAUAUAGGGAUUGUUUUCAAAGUGGCAGGAGAGAUUUGAUUAUCUUGAUGGCUGUAUGACUCUAUGUGUUAAGUGGGUACUUCAAGGAGUAUAAGAAGUUUAUUUUACUUAUAGCAAAUAGUCUUGGUACAAGAAAAUUAUAUAGCACAGUUAGUGAGACUGUAGUCUUUGGAACCCUAAAACCUUGGUUCAAAUCCCAGCUUUAUAACUGAAUUACUUGGUAAUAAGAAAUUUAUUAGAACGAAUCCCUGACAGUUCAAAACACAACAGUAGAUUCUAAAAAAUUGAGGAGGAGGGAAUCCUCCUCCCUAACACAUUCAAUGAGGCCAGUGUCAUUCUGAUACUAAAACCUGGUAGAAACACAACAAAAAAAAGAAACUUCAGGUCAAUAUCCCUGAUUAACAUGGAUGCAGAAAUUCUCAACAAAAUGCUCGCAUACUAAAUCCAGCACCACAUCAAAAUGCUAAUCCACCACAAUCAAGUAGGUAUUCCUGGGAGGCAUGGUUGCUUCAACAUAUGCAAACCAAUCAAUGUGAUUUAUCACAUAAAUAGAAUUUAAAACCACAUGAUCAUCUCAAUAGAUGCAGGGAAGUCUUUUGGUAAAAUACAAUAUCUCUUCAUGUUAAAAACCCUCAGCAAACUAGGCAUUGAAGGAACAUACCUCAAAAUAAUAAGAGCCAUAUAUGACAAACCACAGCCAACAUCAUACUGAAUGGGCAAAGGCUGGAAGCAUUCCUCUUAAGAAUCAGAACAAGACAAGGAUGCCCACUCUCACCACUCCUCUUCAACAUGGUACUGGAAGUCGUAGCCAGAGCAAUCAGGCAAGAGAAAGAAACAGAAGGCAUCCAAAUAGGAAGAGAGGCAAUCAAACUAUCUCUCUUCACAGAUGAUAUGAUUUUAUACCUAGGAAACGCCACAGUCCCUGCCAAAAAGCUCAUUGAUUCCUUGAUCUAAUAAAUCAGCAAAGUUUCAGGGUACAAAAUCAAUGUACAAAAUCAGAAGCAUUUCAAUACAUCAACAUCAACAAUGUCCAAGUCAAAUCGAGAAUGCAAUGUCAUUCACAAUAUCCAUUAAGAAAAAAAGAAAAAAAAAAACCUAGGAAUACAGCUAACCAAGGAGGUGAAAAAUCUCUACAGCAAGAAUUAUAAAAUGCUGCUGAAAGAAAUCAGAGAUGAUAGAAGCAAAUGGAAAACAUUCCAUGAUCAAGAAUAGAAUCAAUAUUAUUAAAAUGGCCAUAUUGCCCAAAGCAAUUUACAGAUUCUACACUAUUCCUAUCAAACUAUCAACAACAUUUUUCAAAGAAAUAGAAAAAAAAACUAUUCUAAAAGUUAUGCAGAACCAAAAAAGAGGCUGAAUAGCCAAAGCAAUCCUAAGCAAAAAGAACAAAGCCAGAGGCAUUAUACUAUCCAACUUCAAACUAUACUAUACACUACAAUAACCAAAACAGCAUGGUAUUUGUAAAACAAACAAACAAAAAAAACCAGACACAUAGACCAAUGGAACAGGUCAGAGAACCCAAAAAUAAAGCUGCACACUUACAACCAUCUAAUCUUUAACAAAGCUGACAAAAACAAGCAAUGGGGAAAGGACUCUAUUCAAAAAAUGGUGCUGGGAUAAUUGGCUAGCCAUAUGCAGAAGAUUGAAACUAGACCCCUUCCUUACACUAUGUACAAAAAUCAACUCAAGAUGGAUUAAAGACUUAAAUGUAAAACCUAAAACUAUAAAAACCCUAGAAAAAGAUAAAGGAAAUACAUUCAGGACAUAGGCCAUGACAAAGAUUUCAUUUUAAAGACUCCAAAAGCAAUUGUGACAAAAACAAAAAUUGACAAACAGGACCUAAUUCUACACAACAAAAUAAAUUAUCAAGAGAGUAAACAGACUACCUACAGAAUGAGAGAAAAUAUUUGCAAGCCAUGCACCCAACAAAGAUCUAACAUCCUGGAUCUAUAAGGAAUGUAAACAAAUUAACAAGCAAAAAACAAUACCAUUAAAAAAUGGGCAAAGGACAUGAACAGGCACUUAUCAAAAGAAGACAUACACGCAACCAACAAACAUAUGGAAAAAUGCUCAACAUCACUAAACAUUAUAGAAAAGUAAAUCAAAACCACAAGAUACUGUCUCACACCAAUCAGAAUGGCUAUUUUUAAAAAGGCAAAAAAUAACAGAUGCUGGUGAGGUUGCAGAGGAAAAAGAGCACUUAUACACUGCUGGUGGGAAUGUAAAUUAGUUCAGCCAUUGUGGAAAGCAGUUUGAAGAUUUCUCAAAGAACUUAAAACAGAACUACCAUUUGACCCAGCAAUCCCAUUACUGGGUAUAUACCCAAAGGAACAUAACAUGUUCUACCAUGAAGACACAUGCACACAUACGUUCACUGCAGGAAUGUUCACAAAAGCAAAGACACGGAAUCAACCUAAAUGCCCAUCAACAGUGGACUGGAUAAAGAAAAUGCAGUACAUAUACACCAUGGCAUACUAUGCAACCAUAAAAAUAAUGAAAUCAUGUCCUUUGCAGCAACAUGGAUACAGCUGGAGGCCAUUACCCUAGGCAAAUUAAUGCAGGAAAAGAAAACUAAAUACCACAUGUUCUCACUUAGAUGUGGGAGCUAAAUAGUGAGUACACAUGGACACAAAGAGGGGAACAAUAGACACCAGGGCCUAUUUGAGGGUGGAGCGUGAGGAUCGAAAAACCACCUUUGGGUACUAUGGUUAUUAACUGGGUGACAAAAUAAUCUGUACACCAAACUCCAGUGACCGUAAUUCACCCAUGUAACAAACCUGCACAUGGAUCCCUGAACCUAAAACAAAAGUUGGAAAGAAAAAAAUGCAACAGUAGGUCAAAAGUCCUUUUAAGAAGUUAUGAGAAUAGUGCAGAUAAAGUUUUUAGCAUAUGCCUGGCACAAUAGAUGCUAAAUUUAUCAGUAGUUUUGCUGGUAAGGUUCAAGUCUUUUAUUCAAGACUUCCUCUCCACCAGACUUUGCUUACAUGAACAUCAACAGUAUUUGCCUUUGUGACUUUCCUUUUCUACAUUUUCUUAGUUGCUAACCUGGUUAUAUUUGUAUAGCCCUUUUCAAAACAGGAUACAAUACUCCGAUAAUGUUUCUGAUUAGCAAAUGAUAACCACUUUCCAGUCCUGCCUCUCAGAUUUUUCCCAGAGUCCACCUUGAUUAGCAUCUAUGGGUUCUGUAAUCUCUUGAGUCUCUAUUUAUAGAAAAUUUUGAGUUAACAAUUACUCAUGAUAAAUCACUUUGUGCAGAUUUAUGCAAGUUGACUCUUAACAGGCCAAUCUAAUGUCUAUGGUAGUAAGGUAUACGUUCUCAUCAUGCCCACAGACUAACAACAUUGUUUAAAUGCCUUCAGAGAGCUAAUGCCGGUGGUAGAACCUUUAGACUCAUCUAUAGAAAUCAAGACCCAAAAGAAAAUAUCCUGCAAAGAUAUUGCUUAAAGCAGCAAGCUUCAAUCUGAUAAGAUUGCUAUUGCUAAAUCAGGAUUGAACAGGGGCAGAAAAGUGGAUAAUUAAUGUAUAUAGGGCCCAUUCUGGGAUGCACCAAGCAGAUGUGAUGUUCUAUCUAUAAUCUAAUUGGUAGCAUCACAAAGGCAGAAAGGAUAAGAUACAGAAAGUUCACAUGAGAUCUUGAAUAAAAACCUAGGAGGUACUAAAAGUCAUCAAAAAAAUCAGAGUGAAACAGGAGUAACAGUAAUUUGGACCCAGAGGACAUGUACAAUUUUCAGGACAGUAGCAGGGGCCCUAAUCAAUCUGCCUUAUAAUGAAGCAAUGUUAAAAGGAGUGUGCCCAUCAGUUCAUGUUCCCCAACCUCUUAAAUGUGCCACUCAGCCUUUGCAAUGGAGAGGAUUAAUGAAUGAUCAUAAAACAUACUUUCAGUUGUGGUGUGUGAUAUUUGAUAAUCAAGGAUAUGCAGAAGUUCAUGGACAAAGUCAGGUAUCUCGAGACAUUCCUAUACUCUAACAUACUCCAGGAGACAACAGUUCAAGCUUUCAAAAUUCCUUCCAGAAAAAAGAAAAAAAAAAUCCAGUGCAUUUUAUCACAUUUAUAAAACUAGGCUCCAUUCUUGUACACAAGAAAAUACAUAUGAGGUGGCCACAACUAACAUGAAUCAAAUCAGUCUGAGACUAAUGCAUAGACUCAUGCCAAGACAUGACAAGGUAAGGAGGCAGAAUUUGGAUUCAGAGGUUUUGUAACACGACUCUUUGUAGGCUGAAGGGAAGUUUGAAGAAAAAGUUCCAGGUAAGGCCAGUGCAGUGGCUCAUGCCUGUAAUCUCAGCACUUUGGGAGCCUGAGGCUGAGGCAGGUGAAUCACUUGAGUCCAGGAGUUCAAGACCAGCCUGGGCAACAUAGUGAAACCCUGUCUCAACGACAACAACAAAAAAUUAACCAGGCAUGGUGGCACAUGCCUAUAGUUCCAGCUACCCAGGAGGCUGAGGUGGGAGGAUCACCUGAGCCAAGGAGGUCAAGGCUGCAGUAAGAUGUGAUUGCACCAUUGCACUCCAGCCUGGGUGACAGAGCAGGACCCUGUCUCAAAAACAAAAACAAAAACAAAACAAAAGUGCCAGGUAAAAGAGAAUGGCUUUGAUUCAAAUUCUGUCUAUUCAAACCCAAAUAUUAAAGCAUUUAAAAGGGAAAAGAAGUCUUUUUGUUUGUUUGUUUGUUUUGAUAUGGAAUCUCG